AUUGAACGCUGGCGGCAGGCCUAACACAUGCAAGUCGAGCGGAUCGGCGGACGGGUGAGUAAUGCCUAGGAAUCUGCCUGGUCGUGGGGGAUAACGUCCGGUAACGGGCGCUAAUACUGCUUACUAUCAGCUGAGCCUAGGUGGGAUUAGCUAGUUGGUGGGGUAAAGGCCCACCAAGGCGACGACCCGUAACUGGUCUGAGAGGAUGAUCAGUCACACUGGAACUGAGACACGGUCCAGACUCCUACGGGAGGCAGCAGUGGGGAAUAUUGGACAAUGGGCGAAAGCCUGAUGCAGCCAUGCCGCGUGUGUGAAGAAGGUCUUCGGGUUGUAAAGCACUUUAAGUUGGGAGGCGUUACCAACAGAAUAAGCACCGGCUAACUUCGUGCCAGCAGCCGCGGUAAUAC
rnacentral:rRNA from 1 species